AGGCAUAUUCUUUUUUUUCUGAUGCAUUCGGCAAUAUUCAAUCCAUACACACAAAACACACGAUCAAAAACAAAACAAAAAGUUGAUACACGUAGGUCCUUCACAUAUAGGCCAUGCGCAGCACGGCACGUUCAAUUUAGUCGAAUCAGUUAUUGUUAUCAUGCUCGAACCGCGUGCAACGCCUGUCAAACUCAAACAUUUCUCUCAAAACACAGGGAUGUCGAUUCGCGCGGGACUAGUAUUAUCAGAGGACCUUGGAGUUCACCAAACAGUAAGGUCCUGACGGUCCUCCUCCUGCAGCGCCCCAGCCCCAAGCUACGCCCCCCCCCAGCACCUUCCGCUCUACAGCUGAUUGGUCGAGGCUUCACCGUGUGGGAGCCUUAUUUGGAGGUGUCCUCUGUUCUCAUGGGACUACUGUUACAGUCUUGUCCCAUCGCUGCAACUCCCCAAUGGACUCGGGAGAGGGGAAGGUUGAGAGCCUGCGUCCUCCGAAACACAACCCAGCCAAGACACACUGCUUCUUGACACACUGCUCGCUUAACCCGGAAGCCCGGAAACACCGUCCAGCUGGCGACCAGAGCCACCUUCUCAUUCCGGAGUUUUUCUUUAUUUUUACUGUAUUCUACAUUGUAGAAUAAUAGUGAAGACAUCAAAACUAUGAAAACACAUGGAAUCAUGUAGUACCCAAUAAA